AUUGAACGCUGGCGGCAGGCUUAACACAUGCAAGUCGAGCGGGGUGAUGGUGCUUGCACUAUCACUUAGCGGCGGACGGGUGAGUAAUGCUUAGGAAUCUGCCUAUUAGUGGGGGACAACAUCUCGAAAGGGAUGCUAAUACCGCAUACGUCCUACGGGAGAAAGCAGGGGAUCACUUGUGACCUUGCGCUAAUAGAUGAGCCUAAGUCGGAUUAGCUAGUUGGUGGGGUAAAGGCCUACCAAGGCGACGGUCUGUAGCGGGUCUGAGAGGAUGAUCCGCCACAAUGGGACUAAGACACGGCCCAGGCUCCUACGGGAGGCAGCAGUGGGGAAGAUUGGACAAUGGGGGGAACCCUGAUCCAGCCAUGCCGCGUGUGUGAAGAAGGCCUUAUGGUUGUAAAGCACUUUAAGCGAGGAGGAGGCUCUUUUGGUUAAUACCCAAGAUGAGUGGACGUUACUCGCAGAAUAAGCACCGGCUAACUCUGUGCCAGCCGCCGCCGUAA
rnacentral:rRNA from 1 species